ensembl:lncRNA
AAGAACGGGUAAUCCCCUAUAACAACCCUUUGGUACUUUCACUUCUCAAAAUAAAUUGUUAAAUCAGCAUUAGACAUUGGUGGGCGUGGUCUAGAGGCAGGGGGCGGUCGGUCACGGCUGUCAAUCAGGAACCACUGAUGGGCUGUCUGCAAAGAGUUUAACUGACGUCACUUACAAGUACACCGUGGAUUGAGGCAGUUCCAUCUGGUGUUCAGCCCUCAGGUGAGUGUCAGGUCUUACAUCAAUGACCUCGAGCUUCUCCAUGCAAACCAAUCAAGCACAGGAGGGUGUUCAGUGUCUCAUUCCCCGGAGAUGCCCCCACUGAGCGACACAGGAAGUCAUUCCUGCCUGCGGCGAUCAGGCUUCUCACCUCUCACCCUGACUGAGAUGUGCUGGCCCUUAGACCUGCUCCAACCCUGUCGCUGAUAUAUCAUUUAUAUCUUCAACUCUGCCCUACUUACUCUACUGGAAAUGUUGUUGUUGUACAAUUGCUCAAUAAUUCAUCUGUGCACUUCCCUGUCUAUCUCUCUAUUUAUAGAUUCCAGUGCUCAGCAUUAAUAUUUAAACUGUUAUCAUAAAUUGUGCAUGUGUAAUUGUCUUAAACUGUAUAUCAUAGUAUAAUAUACAGAAUUGUACAUAUUUCUUAUUUCCUAUUUUCAAUUUCCUUAUCCAUUUCCUGUGCUAAUAUAUAUUCAUAUUAUACAAUGGGAACCACUUUUAAAAAAAAU